rnacentral:rRNA from 1 species
UACGGAGGGGGCUAGCGUUGUUCGGAAUUACUGGGCGUAAAGCGCACGUAGGCGGCUUUGUAAGUUAGAGGUGAGAGCCCGGGGCUCAACUCCGGAAUUGCCUUUAAGACUGCAUCGCUCGAAUUGUGGAGAGGUAAGUGGAAUUCCGAGUGUAGAGGUGAAAUUCGUAGAUAUUCGGAAGAACACCAGUGGCGAAGGCGACUUACUGGACACAUAUUGACGCUGAGGUGCGAAAGCGUGGGGAGCAAACAGG